rnacentral:rRNA from 1 species
UACGUAGGGACCAAGCGUUGUUCGGAUUUACUGGGCGUAAAGGGCGCGUAGGCGGCAAUUCAAGUCAGCUGUGAAAUCUCCGGGCUUAACUCGGAACGGUCAGCUGAUACUGCUUUGCUAGAGUGCGGAAGGGGCAAUCGGAAUUCUCGGUGUAGCGGUGAAAUGCGUAGAUAUCGAGAGGAACACCUGAGGUGAAGACGGGUUGCUGGGCCGACACUGACGCUGAGGCGCGAAGGCCAGGGUAGCAAACGGG